rnacentral:rRNA from 1 species
GAUGAACGCUGGCGGCGUGCUUAACACAUGCCAGUCGAACGAUGAAGCCCAGCUUGCUGGGUGGAUUAGUGGCGAACGGGCGAGUAACACGUGAGUAACCUGCCCUUAACUCUGGGAUAAGCCUGGGAAACUGGGUCUAAUACCGGAUAGGAGCGUCCACCGCAUGGUGGGUGUUGGAAAGAUUUAUCGGUUUUGGAUGGACUCGCGGCCUAUCAGCUUGUUGGUGAGGUAAUGGCUCACCAAGGCGACGACGGGUAGCCGGCCUGAGAGGGUGACCGGCCACACUGGGACUGAGACACGGCCCAGACUCCUACGGGAGGCAGCAGUGGGGAAUAUUGCACAAUGGGCGCAAGCCUGAUGCAGCGACGCCGCGUGAGGGAUGACGGCCUUCGGGUUGUAAACCUCUUUCAGUAGGGAAGAAGCGAAAGUGACGGUACCUGCAGAAGAAGCACCGGCUAACUACGUG